AAGGAGCACCACGAGAAACACUCCAAUUGGUGGGGUGUGAGCCGUGAGGGGUUCUCGUCUGUAGUGGACGAGGGCCGGGUGCACAACAACAGGCAAUCGCCAGACACACUAUUGGGCCCUGAGACAACACUCGGCCGACUUCGGUUGAAGUGGUGUCCCUCCAUCUUGGUGGUGGGGUGUGGUGUUUGAGUAUUGGAUAGUGGUUGCGA
rnacentral:misc_RNA from 1 species